UGAUGAGACAGAUGAUAUAGAUGA
rnacentral:siRNA from 1 species